rnacentral:rRNA from 1 species
GUACACUCCUACGGGAGGCAGCAGUGGGGAAUUUUGGACAAUGGGCGAAAGCCUGAUCCAGCAAUGCCGCGUGAGUGAAGAAGGCCUUCGGGUUGUAAAGCUCUUUUGUCAGGGAAGAAACGGUGAAAGCUAAUAUCUUUUGCUAAUGACGGUACCUGAAGAAUAAGCACCGGCUAACUACGUGCCAGCAGCCGCGGUAAUACGUAGGGUGCAAGCGUUAAUCGGAAUUACUGGGCGUAAAGCGUGCGCAGGCGGUUUUGUAAGUCUGAUGUGAAAUCCCCGGGCUCAACCUGGGAAUUGCAUUGGAGACUGCAAGGCUAGAAUCUGGCAGAGGGGGGUAGAAUUCCACGUGUAGCAGUGAAAUGCGUAGAUAUGUGGAGGAACACCGAUGGCGAAGGCAGCCCCCUGGGUCAAGAUUGACGCUCAUGCACGAAAGCGUGGGGAGCAAACAGGAUUAGAAACCCUGGUAGUCCCAUGAU